rnacentral:rRNA from 1 species
CCUACGGGUGGCUGCAGUGAGGAAUAUUGGUCAAUGGGCGCUAGCCUGAACCAGCCAAGUAGCGUGAAGGAUGACUGCCCUAUGGGUUGUAAACUUCUUUUAUAUGGGAAUAAAGUGCAGUACGUAUACUGCUUUGCAUGUACCUUAUGAAUAAGGAUCGGCUAACUCCGUGCCAGCAGCCGCGGUAAUACGGAGGGUCCGAGCGUUAUCCGGAUUUAUUGGGUUUAAAGGGAGCGUAGGCGGGAUGUUAAGUCAGCUGUUAAAGUUUGCGGCUCAACCGUUUAAUGGCCGUUGAAACUGGCAUUCUUGAGUACGGGAGAGGUAGGCGGAAUGCGUGGUGUAGCGGUGAAAUGCUUAGAUAUCACGAAGAACUCCGAUUGCGAAGGCAGCCUACGGGACUGUAACUGACGCUGAUGCUCGAAAGUGUGGGUAUCGAACAGGAUUAGAUACCCGUGUAGUC